UUCUCAACUUAUCUUUUUUUUUGAUAAAUAGAUACCACGAUAUCCAUUUAGUUUAUUUUAUUUAUAAAUAAAUUUAGCUGAAAAUGUGAAUCAAUCAGGAUUCGAACUUGAGACCUCGGAUACCAACCACCAAGUCCUUUAUCAUUUGCUCUAGAAAUGGUCGGUGCAUUCUCAACUUAUCACUUCUAAAAAUAACCCACUAAAAUUUUUACACUUUACUUUUACUUACGCGAUGUUACU
rnacentral:lncRNA from 1 species